rnacentral:rRNA from 1 species
CGGACGGGUGAGUAAUGCUUGGGAAUCUAGCUUAUGGAGGGGGAUAACUACGGGAAACUGUAACUAAUACCGCGUAAUAUCGAAAGAUUAAAGUGUGGGACCUUCGGGCCACAUGCCAUAGGAUGAGCCCAAGUGGGAUUAGGUAGUUGGUGAGGUAAAGGCUCACCAAGCCGACGAUCUCUAGCUGGUCUGAGAGGAUGACCAGCCACACUGGGACUGAGACACGGCCCAG